UUGUUAAUUAUUUGUGACAUAAUUUUGAUUUCUCAGAAAUUUUAGUUUUAUCGUUAUUUUGAUUACGAACGUUUUGCAAUGUCAGAAAAUUUUACAACGCUAGAGGAGACUUGCAUUUCAUAUAGGGUUUAUGCUUGGAAAGCUGGUUUUUUUAAACAUAUGUUAGGUUUUUGUAAUCUAUUGAUUGAAUUAUCAAAACUGUUAAGGGACGUUGCCUCCAAUAAACAUAUCACUAAACUUUUUAUAACCCCCCCCCCCCCCACCGGCAAUCAUAUCAAUAAAUGUGGUUUGUAAAACUC
rnacentral:sRNA from 1 species